ensembl:lncRNA SFTPD-AS1 SFTPD antisense RNA 1
UUAGGGUGUACCUGUGCAGGUUGUUACAUGGGUAUAUUGUAUGAUGCUGAGGUUUACGGUACUAUUAUACCCACUUCCCAGGUAGUGAGCAUGGUACCCAGUAGUUUUUCAACACUUUCCCCCUCCCCAGUGUCUAUUGCUGCCAUCUUUAUGUCCAUGAGUAUCCAAUGUUUACUCCUAUUUACCAGUGAGAACAUGCAGUAUUUGGUUUUCUUUUGCUACAUUAAUUCUCUUAGGAUAAUGGCCUCCAGUUCUAUCCAUGUUGCUGCAAAGGACAUGAUUUUAUUCUUUUUUAUAGCUGUGUGGUAUUCCAUGAUGUAUGUAUACCACAGUUUCAUUAUCCGGUCCACUGUUGAUAGGCAUCUAGGCUGAUUUCAUGUCUUUGCUAUUGUGAAUAGUGUUGCAAUGAAUAUAUGAAUGCAUGUGUCUUUUCAGUGGAAUUAUUUAUUUUCUUUUUGAUAUAUACCCAGUAAUGAGACUGUGUCAAAAGUAGUUCUGGGUCAAAAAGUAGUUCUAAGUUCUUUGAAAAACAUCCAGACUGCUUUUCACAAUGGCUGAACUAAUUUACAUUCCCACCAACAGUGUGUAAGCAUUCCCUUUUCUCUGCAGCCUUCCCGACAUCAUAUUUUUUUUUCUUUUUCAUGAUAGUCGUUCUGACUGGUGUAAGAUGGUAUCUCAUGGUUCUUAUUUGCAUUUAUCUGAUGAUUAGUGAUAUUGAGCAUUUUUUCAUAUGUUUUUUUGGCCACACUUAUUUUGAAAAGUGUUUGCUCAUGUCCUUUGCCCACUUUUUAAUGGGGUUGUUUUUUGCCUGUUAAUUUAAGUUCCUUAUAAAUUCUGGAUAUAAGGCCGGUCAUGGUGGCUCAUGCCUAUAAUUCCAGCACUUUGGGAGGCUGGGGUGGGCGGAUCACCUGAGAUCAGGAGUUCGAGACCGGCCUGACCAACAUAGUGGAAUGCAGUCUCCAAUAAAAAAUAAAAAAUAAGGGCCAGGCAUGGUGGCUCAAGCCUGUAAUCCCAGCACUUUGGGAGGCCGAGGCCUGUGGAUCACAAGGUCAGGAGUUAGAGACCAGCCUGACCAACAUGGUGAAACCCUGUCUCUACUAAAUAUACAAAAAUUAGCCUGGCAUGGUGGCAGGCGCCUGUAAUCCCAGCUACUUGAGAGACUGAGGCAGGGGAAUCACUUGAAACUGAAAGUGGGAGGUUGCAGUGAGCUGAGAUUGCAUCACUGCACCCCAGCCUAGGGGAAAGAGCAAAACUCCGUCUCAAAAGAAAAAAAAAAUCUGGAUAUUAGACCUUUAUCAGAUGCGUAGUUCGUGAAUAUUUUCAUUUUCUCCACAUCCUCAACAACACUUAUUAUCCUUUGUCUUUUUUUAUAGUAGCCAUUUUAAAAGGAGUGAAGUUGUAUCUGAUAGUAGUUUUAAUUUCCAUUUUCUCAAUGAUUACUGAUAUAGAAUUUUUUUUAUAUACCUCUUGGCCUCUGUAUGUCUUCUUUUGAGAAAUGUCUGUUCAGAUCAUUUCACAUUUUAAAUCAGCCUAUUGUUUUCUGGUUAUGGAGUAUUUGAGUUCCUUAUAUAGUAACCCUUUAUCAGAUGUAGAGUUUGCAAAUAUUUUCUCCCAUUCUGUAGGUUCUUUUAACUCUGAUGUUUGUUCUUUGUUAUACAGAAGGCUUUUAAUUUGAAGUAAUCAUAUUUGUCUAUUUUUGCUUUGAUUGCCCUUGCUUUUGGGGUCACAUCCAAAAAAUAAUUGCCCAGACCAAUGUCAUGGACUGUUCCCCGUGUUUUCUUCUAGUAGUUUUUUCAGGUCCUAUAUUUACUCUUUAACUCAUUUUCAGUUGAUUUUAGUGUAUGGUAUGAAAUAAGUUUCUAAUUUCAAUCUUCUGCAUGUGGACCUCCAGUUUUCCCAACAUCAUUUGUUGAAGAGACUGUUGUCUCCCCAUUGAGUGUUCUUGGCAUCUUUUUCAAAAAUCAGUUGGCUGAGAAUGCAUGAAUUUAUUUUUGGGUUCUCUGUUCUGUUCUGUUUAUGUCUCUGGUUUUAUGCCAGUACCAUGCUGUUUUGGUUACUACAGCUUUGUAGUAUGUUUUGAAGUCAGGUAGUAUCAUGCUUCCAGCUGCAUUCUUUUAGCUCCAGAUUUCAUUGGUUAUUUGAAGUCUCCUUUGGUUCCAUAUGAAUUUUAGGAUUAUUUUUUCUACUUCUGUGAAGAAUAGCUCAUAUUUUAAUAGGAACUUUAUUGAAUCUGUAGAUCAUUUUUGGUAGUAUGGUCAUUUUAACGGUAUUAAUUUUUUCAAACUGUGAACAUGGGAUAUCUUUUCAUUUUUGUGAUCUCUUCAAUUUCUUUCAUUAAUGUUUUACAGUUUGCCUUGUAGAGAUCUUUUAUCUCCUCAUUUAAAUUUAUUACUAUGUAUUUUAUUUAUUUUGUAGCUAUUGAAAUAGGAUUGCUUUUUUAUUUCUUUUUCAAGUAGUUCAUUGUUGGCAUAUGGAAAUGCUGCUGAUUUUUGUCUGCUAAUUUUGCAUCCUACAACUUUACUGAAUUUAUCAGUUCUAAGAGUUUUUUUGUAAAUUCUUUAGGUUUUUCUAUUUAUAAGAUCAUGUCAUCUGCAAACACAUAAAAUUUGAUUUCCUUCUUUCCAAUUUGGAUGUCUUUUAAUUAUUUCUCUUACCUAAUUGUUCUGCCUAGAACAUCAUCCAAUACUGGGUUGAAUUAAAGUGGUGAGAGUGGGCAUCCUUGUCUUGUUCUAGUUUCUAGAGGAAAAUACUUCAGCUUUUCCCUAUUCAGCAUAAUGCUACCUGUGGGUUUGUUAUAUGUAGUCUUUAUUGCAUUCAUGUAUGCUUCUUUCAUAUCUAGUUUGUUGAAGAUUUUUAUCAUGAAAGGAUAUUAAAUUUUAUCAAAUGCUUUUUCUGUGUCUAUUGAGACUGUCAUUUUCUUUUUGUCCAUCAUUUUGUAAGUGUUAUGUAUCAUGUUGAUUGGUUUGCAUAUGUCAAACCAUCCCUGCAAUAAAUCCCAAUUGAUUAUGGUGAAUGAUAUUUUUAAUGUAUUGUUGAAUUCUGUUUGCUAGUAUUUAUUUUGAGGAAUUUUGCAUCUCUGUUCAUCAGAAAUACUGGCCUAUGGUUUUCUUUUUUUGUUGUGCCCUUUUCAUGUUUUGGUAUGAGGGUAACGUCAUCAUAGAAUGAGUAUAAAAGAAUUUCUUCCACUUCAAUUUUCUGGAAAAGUUUGAGAAGAAUUGGUAUUAGUUCUUUCUUAAAUAUCUGGCAUAAUUCAGCAAUAAAGCCAUCAGGUCCUUGGCUUUUCUUUGAUGGGACACUUUUUAUUAGUGAUUCAAUCUUGUAGCUCGUAAUUGGUCUGUCCAGAUUUUCUACUACUUCUUGGUUCAAUCUUGGUGGUUGUAUGUGUCCAGAAAUUUUUCCAUUUCCAUUAGGCUUUCCAAUUUAUUGGCAUAUAGUUGCUCAUAAUAGUCUUUAAUGACCUCUUCUAUUUCUAUGGUAUCAAUUGUAAUGUCCCUGUUCAUUUGCGGGAAUGCUCUUAUAUGUGACUUUAUGCUUUUCUCUUGCUGUUUUUAGAUUCCCUCUUUGUCUUUGAAUUUGAUAGUUUGAAUAUAAUGAGCCUUGGAAUUGACCGUUUUGGGUUGAAUCUAUUUGGAAAUGUUUGACCUUCAUGUACCUGGAUGUCUAUAUCUCUUGCAAGACUUAAGAAGUUUUUAGCUAUUAUUUUGUUUAAUAGGUUUUCUAUGCCUUUGUUCAUCUUUUUUCCUUCUGGAAUCCAUAGGAAGAUGACCCUCCACCUCCCAAACUCCCUUUCAAUGAGGAUUAAUUUCAGACCCUGUUUGACAUGCUGCAAAGCUCACCAGGGCAUCAUCUUUAGGAGAAAGGUAUCAGUCUUAUUACACCAAUUCAGGCCUCCUCUCUUGGAUGCAAAGUUAGUAUAAUGCAAAGGAUGGGGGAACAAGAAACACAAUAAAUUGGAGAGCAAAACUAAGGCAAGAAGAAGCCACAGGCACUUUAAAACACAAAGAGGGCUGGGCACUGUGGCUCACACCUGUAAUCCCAGACCUUUGGGAGGCCAAGGCAGGCGGGUCACAAGGUCAGGAGUUCAAGACCAGCCUGACCAACAUAGUGAAACCCCGUCUCUACUAAAAAUACAAAAAAUUAGCCAGGCAUGGUGGUGGGCACCUGUAAUCCCAGCUACUCAGGAGGCUGAGGCAGGAGAAUCACUUGAACCCAGGAGGCGGAGGUUGCAGUGAGCAGAGAUCACACCACUGCACUCCAGCCUGGGCGACAGUGUGAGACUCUGUCUCAAAACACACACACAGACACACACACACACACACACACACGGAGCAUUUUGACUCAGUCCUGUGGAUAGCACCUAACUUCCAUCCUCACUUCAUGACCUAGAUAAUUGUUUCUAAGCUCCAUAUUGCCCCUAGAGAAAGCAUGGGAACCAGGCUGUGAAUGAUUUCCCUGAAUCCUGAAUAACAAAAACAUUUUCAUGGCAAAUAUGAUCUCCUCUCCAUGACCAUCACUUCCUUGGAAGUCUGUACCACGUACAAACUGGAACCAAACCAAGGUAAUGAGAAAAGGUGAAAAGGGGACUUGUCCAGACUUUUCUCCCUUUUGGCAAGUUCAAAAGUCAAACCUGAAGGCGGGCAAAUGGGCAGAACAUGGGAGGAUGCUAGAUUUUCUCAUCCUGUGAAUUCAUGACAAGGAGUUUUUAUCCUAGCUCUGAGAGUUCCAAAUGGGAACUGGAAGUUACUUCACUCUCCAUCUCUCAAGGAUUGACUCAAUGAGCUUAUAUCCAUCCAUAAUACUGAGCUGUUAUCAUGUGUGAGUUUCCCUUUAAACAUUGAAACAGAAAGAAAAUGACAGUAAAAGUUACAAUAGCCCCUCCAUGAAAUCAUUAAACAAAGUCUAUGAACAUUAAUAUUCCCACUUUGUUAGCAUUUUUGUUAGUAUUAACAUGCAUAUCAUGAAGCUUCCCUUUUUAUUAUAAAUAAAUUGUACAUCAAGUUC